CAGACGGGUUUCAUCCCGCGCUCCGAGCGGUAGCGCGAGAUGAAACCUGUCAUCC
rnacentral:precursor_RNA from 1 species